rnacentral:rRNA from 1 species
UACAGGGGGUGCGAGCGUUAUCCGGAAUUACUGGGUUUAAAGGGUGCGUAGGCUGCCGUGUAAGUUUGGGGUGAAAGGCCAGGGCUUAACCUUGGGACUGCCUUGGAUACUGCACGGCUUGAAUUAGGUUGAGGUUGGCGGAAUGCGGCAUGUAGCGGUGAAAUGCAUAGAUAUGCCGUAGAACACCGAUUGUGAAGACAGCUGACUGGACCUUGAUUGACGCUGAGGCACGAAAGCGUGGGGAGCGAACGGG